GACGAACGCUGGCGGCGUGCUUAACACAUGCAAGUCGAACGGUAAGGCCCUUCGGGGUGCACGAGUGGCGAACGGGUGAGUAACACGUGGGUGAUCUGCCCUGCACUUCGGGAUAAGCCUGGGAAACUGGGUCUAAUACCGGAUAGGACCACUGCCUGCAUGGGUGGUGGUGGAAAGCUUUUGCGGUGUGGGAUGGGCCCGCGGCCUAUCAGCUUGUUGGUGGGGUGAUGGCCUACCAAGGCGACGACGGGUAGCCGGCCUGAGAGGGUGACCGGCCACACUGGAACUGAGGUACGGCCCAGACUCCUACGGGAGGCAGCAGUGGGGAAUAUUGCACAAUGGGCGCAAGCCUGAUGCAGCGACGCCGCGUGAGGGAUGACGGCCUUCGGGUUGUAAACCUCUUUCAGCACCGACGAAGCGCAAGUGACGGUAGGUGCAGAAGAAGGACCGGCCAACUACGUGCCAGCCGCCGCGGUAA
rnacentral:rRNA from 1 species